AACGAACGCUGGCGGCAUGCCUAACACAUGCAAGUCGAACGAGACCUUCGGGUCUAGUGGCGCACGGGUGCGUAACGCGUGGGAACCUGCCCUUAGGUUCGGAAUAACUCCCCGAAAGGGGUGCUCAUACCGGAUAAUGUCUUCGGACCAAAGAUUUAUCGCCUUUGGAUGGGCCCGCGUUGGAUUAGCUAGUUGGUAGGGUAAAAGCCUACCAAGGCGACGAUCCAUAGCUGGUCUGAGAGGAUGAUCAGCCACACUGGGACUGAGACACGGCCCAGACUCCUACGGGAGGCAGCAGUGGGGAAUAUUGGACAAGGGGCGAAAGCCUGAUCCAGCAAUGCCGCGUGAGUGAUGAAGGCCUUAGGGUUGUAAAGCUCUUUUAGCCGGGAUGAGAAUGACAGUACCGGGAGAAUAAGCUCCGGCUAACUCCGUG
rnacentral:rRNA from 1 species